UACGUAGGGUGCAAGCGUUGUCCGGAUUUAUUGGGCGUAAAGCGAACGUAGGCGGUUUGUUAAGUCUGUGCUUAAAGACUGGGGCUCAACCUCAGGAGUGGCAUGGAUACUGGCAGACUGGAGGACGUCAGAGGAAGGUGGAAUUCCCAGUGUAGCGGUGAAAUGCGUAGAUAUUGGGAGGAACACCAGUGGCGAAAGCGACCUUCUGGGACGUUCCUGACGCUGAGGUUCGAAAGCUCGGGGAGCAAACAGG
rnacentral:misc_RNA from 1 species